rnacentral:rRNA from 1 species
GAUGAACGCUGGCGGCGUGCCUAAUACAUGCAAGUCGAGCGAACAGACGAGGAGCUUACUCCUCUGACGUUAGCGGCGGACGGGUGAGUAACACGUGGAUAACCUACCUAUAAGACUGGGAUAACUUCGGGAAACCGGAGCUAAUACCGGAUAACAUGUUGAACCGCAUGGUUCAACAGUGAAAGACGGUCUUGCUGUCACUUAUAGAUGGAUCCGCGUCGCAUUAGCUAGUUGGUAAGGUAACGGCUUACCAAGGCAACGAUGCGUAGCCGACCUGAGAGGGUGAUCGGCCACACUGGAACUGAGACACGGUCCAGACUCCUACGGGAGGCAGCAGUAGGGAAUCUUCCGCAAUGGGCGAAAGCCUGACGGAGCAACGCCGCGUGAGUGAAGAAGGUCUUCGGAUCGUAAAACUCUGUUAUUAGGGAAGAACAAAUGUGUAAGUAACUAUGCACGUCUUGACGGUACCUAAUCAGAAAGCCACGGCUAACUACGUGCCAGCAGCCGCGGUAAUACGUAGGUGGCAAGCGUUAUCCGGAAUUAUUGGGCGUAAAGCGCGCGUAGGCGGUUUUUUAAGUCUGAUGUGAAAGCCCACGGCUCAACCGUGGAGGGUCAUUGGAAACUGGAAAACUUGAGUGCAGAAGAGGAAAGUGGAAUUCCAUGUGUAGCGGUGAAAUGCGCAGAGAUAUGGAGGAACACCAGUGGCGAAGGCGACUUUCUGGUCUGUAACUGACGCUGAUGUGCGAAAGCGUGGGGAUCAAACAGGAUUAGAUACCCUGGUAGUCCACGCCGUAAACGAUGAGUGCUAAGUGUUAGGGGGUUUCCGCCCCUUAGUGCUGCAGCUAACGCAUUAAGCACUCCGCCUGGGGAGUACGACCGCAAGGUUGAAACUCAAAGGAAUUGACGGGGACCCGCACAAGCGGUGGAGCAUGUGGUUUAAUUCGAAGCAACGCGAAGAACCUUACCAAAUCUUGACAUCCUCUGACCCCUCUAGAGAUAGAGUUUUCCCCUUCGGGGGACAGAGUGACAGGUGGUGCAUGGUUGUCGUCAGCUCGUGUCGUGAGAUGUUGGGUUAAGUCCCGCAACGAGCGCAACCCUUAAGCUUCGUUGCCAUCAUUAAGUUGGGCACUCUAAGUUGACUGCCGGUGACAAACCGGAGGAAGGUGGGGAUGACGUCAAAUCAUCAUGCCCCUUAUGAUUUGGGCUACACACGUGCUACAAUGGACAAUACAAAGGGUAGCGAAACCGCGAGGUCAAGCAAAUCCCAUAAAGUUGUUCUCAGUUCGGAUUGUAGUCUGCAACUCGACUACAUGAAGCUGGAAUCGCUAGUAAUCGUAGAUCAGCAUGCUACGGUGAAUACGUUCCCGGGUCU